AGAAUCAACGCUGGCGGCGUGCCUAACACAUGCAAGUCGCACGAGAAAGGGGAGCAAUCCCUGAGUAAAGUGGCGCACGGGUGAGUAACACGUGAAUAAUCUACCUCCGAGUGGGGAAUAACUGAGAGAAAUCUUAGCUAAUACCGCAUAACACUUACGAGUCAAAGCAGCAAUGCGCUUGGAGAGGAGUUCGCGGCCGAUUAGCUAGUUGGCGGGGUAAUGGCCCACCAAGACGAUGAUCGGUA
rnacentral:rRNA from 1 species